UGAUCUCCUCCAAUUCAUUCCCAUGUCUAAGAUCAAAUUACCGCAUGGUGCUUAAGCAAUAAAAUCAAGAUCAGUUGUUUAACUGAGGCUCCAAUUCACUGGCAGCUACCAAUGCUGGAAGUGUCACUGCAGAGAAAAGGAGCUGCAUCACACUGCAAACAGAUAAAAUAACUGACAACAAAUGCAGGGCCAAAAGGCACAAUUCAGAGUACCUCAAAGAUAAUAGGUGCAUAAAAUUCAGUCACAAACACAUAUAAUCCUCACAUUACAUAAAACUCAGUCCUGGAACAUAGCCAGACUAGUAUUAAACAGCUAAACACAGGUAAAGCAACUUCCACAGCCACAACCGCAAAACAAAUCAGGAAUCACUCGGACAAUGCCAUCAUCCCUCAGAGUUCCGCUGCCUGGAUGUAAGAUGAUGCUUCCCCUCCCUCCAAGGCACCUACUUGGAUCGCUGCCUCAUCUUUCGGCGCUUCCUCUUGAGCCUCCUCAUCCUCUUCUUCUUCCACUGCACAUUAUCACAAAAAUGCAGAUCAUCAGUACAAAUUGCAUAGUGCUAGAUGCGCAGGAACAUGAGAUAAUUCCACAUGAAAAGAGAAAGUAGUAUGUGAUUUAGAAUCAGAAGAUUGAGUGUUUCACUGGAUAUCAUCACAUGAUUCUCAGAAACACGGACCAAUUGUUCUUCAUCAUGUUCCAAAACUGCCAAUUUGGCAUGGCGAAAAGAGAACUACUAAAGAAGGUCAUACCUAUCUACAAACUAGAUCUGCAGUCGGGUUGACAUUCAGAAUGAGUAGGAGGAUUUUAUCAUCAAAUAGAUCAGACGCCAUUUGUCUUCCUCAUCAUGGCAACCGACGCAACUGAUCUAAAGAAAGAACAAAUCUAGGAAAAACACUGGCAAAGAAAACACAGUUCUCUCAGACAAAUGCCUCGAUUGUCCACAUGGUGUAAUAGAAUGGAUUACAUCAGACUCGUCAUCUGUUUUCAUCAUCACAGAGAACUAUGCACAAAUGAAAACAGCAAAAAAAACGCAUAAAUCUGGCUAACAUAACUAGAAGCAGUAAUUAUAUAUCAUAGAGCAAGCAAAUCUGGUCGAAAUAGCAACGGUUCUCUCAGACAAAUGCCUCAUAUUGUCCCCACGGUUGAAUGGAAUGGAUUGAAUCGGACAUCUAAUCAGUGUUGAUCAUCACAGAGAACCACUACCUACGCAAGCGAGCGGCAGCAACAGCAAGAACGAACGCUCGGUAAGCACUAGCACAUGUCUAGAUCUACCACGGUCGGGACGCAGAUAACAGCAGGCGAGGUAGAAGACGGGCGGCAGUACGAACCUUGGCCCUCAUCGCGGCGGCGGUGUCGGCCUCGCUCUCCGGUUCGCGGGGAUGGCGGCGGCGGGAGUGUGUGGACGAACACCCUAGCGGCGGGGGCUCUCGUUAGAUUGUUGGCGGCGGGGGCUCUCGCCUCGUACUUAUACGGGCUGGGUGCUGAAGAGGGGGGAAACCCUAGCGGGGUUGGACGGGUGGACGGCUGGGAUCAGCCAAUGAACGGCGUUCUUAUCCGAUUAGUUGCUCUGGUAUGGGCCUGUUGGGCCUCCAAACAACGCCUAGGCCCACGCUAACAUUUGACUGGACUUGAUUUCCUAAAGGGAGGAAAAAGAAACUUGACCAGUCUUUACUUUAUUCUCUUGUUUUUUUAUUUUACUACUAGAACAAUGCCCGUGCGUUGCAACGGGAUAUAAAUAUUCUAGCACGUUAGCUUGUGAUUUACCUGUCAAUAAUAAUGUGAUUGUGUAAAUAAAUGUUCAUAAAAUUCUGACCAUGAAUUACCUUAUAUUUUGAUUAGAAGAUUGGUAAAUAAAUUAAAGUGGAGUUGAUUCAGAAGGUAAGUAAAUUAAGGUGAUUGAUUAUCAUAUACAUGGAAGACUGGACGAAGGGUUGGUGGAAAGAAAUAUGAAAUGUGAACCUUACGUUCUUUUUAAGUACUAGUAGAGAUUUAAAAAAAAAGAAUAGCAUUCCUUUUCCUGCCAGGCGGAGUGAUUCGUCCAACAUUCCCUUUUUCUAAUGAUCAUUCCUUGAAAACCGUCUUAAUCGUCUCAUCUUUUAUUGACUUGUCAAAUAAAUUUUAUUUUCUUUGGUAAGUCAAUAAGUGAUUACAAAAUAAAAUCACGGGCAAGAUUUGUUAAAUAUUUAUUUACACAAUCACAUAAUAUGAAGAUGUAAAUUAUGAGAUAAUGUAUUGUAAUAUAAUAUUUAUGCCCCGUAGCGACGCACGGGGAAAUAUCUAAUUUUACUAGAAAAAAGACUAAUACAUUGUGAUGGCGCUGGUGCGCAACUGUUGGUGCAGCACGAUUCAGGAUUAAUUAUACUAUUUUUAACACAAUAUAGACGCAAGCGCUCAUAUAUAUACGCGCAUAUACUCACCCCUAUGAAUGCACACACGUAUACCUUUUUUUUUGCGACAACAUAGAGCACCUCCGAAAGAUUGAGUCGGCAUACUAUCUACAUUUUACAAAGUCACCAUUGGCGCCUAUCCAGGAUAUAUAUGCGAGCAGCAAGACUUGAACCCUGCUGGGUUAGGGAUAUCACUGUCCUCCUAACCAUCCAACCACAUGUUGGUUCGCCACGACUAAUCAUACUGGUGUAGCCAAGUCUUAUUUAAAAACUAGGGAGGAAACUUUGUCCUAGUUGAACAACACGUUGCUGCGGUCUGAUGUAGUUGCUACUCGUUUGUUUCUAAAGUACCUUGUAAUCAAACUACUUGUGAUGAGAACAAAUCGAUAAAGUAUCUUGUAAUCAAACUACUGAGAUAAUUUGUACCUUCUCUCCAUACCCAUGUAUCAUCAAGUAGCCUCUUAAUGUAGUUUCCCUUUUCCCGCUUUGAAGCAAGUCUACGAAAAAAUGAUGUAUUCCGAUCUCCAUGAAGCAACCAAUUAGCUCGUCCUCUCUAUAACCAAAUCAAUUCUUCUUGGUACAGAAGAUUUUCAAUAUCUAGCCUACAAAAAAGAAGAUUCUCAAUAUUUGAAAAUCUUUUUUAUCCCUAAUCUCCCUGUCGAAUCACUUUGUCUCCAUUUUAAGGUCUUUUUUUAGCUUCGAUAUCCUCUUAUUUGGGCCUUUCAGAACCUCCCGAUCCCUCUGGUGUAGAUCUUUAUGAACAGCCUUGGUACGAUCAGACAAGGAUGGCCCCACACUAGCUAGCUUGCUCUCUCCCAAGCCAAUUGGACUACCGCAUUAACGGUUUCUUCACACAGCCAACGGGCUUCAAACUGUUUUCGGGCCUUCGGUUGUUGAGAAAAACAGAUUUAGAAUAAUUCUUAUGAAGGAGAAUAGGUCAAUGGUUUGAAUGGACAUGGUGCUCAUGAACCAAUGCAUAUGGCAAUUUAUCUGCACACGCCUCAUUACUUAGUGAUACCUUGGCUCCAGGUGAACUGGUCACCAAUAACAGUGGUCUAUUGAAGUCCACACAACCUCUGAAAUUAUGCAUCAACUGUUGAGGUCGAACAUUACCACCCUCCUUCUCACUUGCCACCAAUCUCUGAUUAAAAUCACAAAAACUAACCAUGGACCAGCCACAUUACAUUCCACAAGUAUGUCCAGGACAGGUGCUUCCGAUCCCAAGUUGGUUGUCCAUAAAAUCCUCAAGCGCCAUGAAGCAUUAUUUCCACCCAUAACAAUUCCAUCAAUAAAGUGUUUAGAAGAAUAAUUCAACAUCACUUCAUUAGACUGGUUAUAGAACAGGACAAGGUUCCCCGAGCAACCAUCACUCUCAACAAUAUGAGUAAAAUCAACCCUAGUUUAACUCUCAAAUCAAUUGCACUCGCUUUGUUCAUAUGUGAUUUAUAUAAGAAAAUCACAUAUGCUCUCACACUCCCUUGGAGGUCCAAGAGCUCUCAAACUGUCGUGGAUGAAAGCAUCCCACGACAGUUCCAAUCUAAGGUUUUCAUUGUGCCUGGCUGUCCUUCUCACCUGAGGCCACCAAUCCAUCAUUAGCAUUGCAGUCAAUUUCCGUCCAUCACUUCCCUUUAGUUUAAUUUUGUUUGCAUUUUUCCGAGGCCCACAAACCUUUUGUCUAGUACGUUUGAACCAAAAAAGAGUUAAAAUACAUGGUUUAGUCCACACUACGAGAAAGUGGCCGAACCAAAAUAAGCCACCUGAUUUUGAAAAUUCGACAAGUGCUUUAAGGUGACUUUGGUGUCCUUCCAACACCAUCCUUCGCGUCGUAUUGUCCAUGAAUCUUGCUUCCAUGAUGUACAUAUCCUCUUCUCCAAUCUCCACAACCUUCAGUCCUGUGGAUUUAAUUGUUGUGUACGAGCUUGCGUCAUUGAUCCUUGUGGGAUUACGGUCGUAGGUGUAGCAGGGGCUGUAAUGGUAGAAGAGGUGUCCCCAUCACUUAGUUUGGGGCAGGUGUUGGUGCUUUUUUAACACAGUACACAUGCAUGCGCUUAUAUAUAUACGCAUACACUCAUCCCUAUAAACAUAUACACGCAUACCUUACUCCUAUGAGCAUCUCGGAGAGACUAAGCCGGCAUAUCAUCUUGAGAUUGACGAAGUUACCAAAGGCGCCUCGUAGUUGACUGAAACGUCUCUUCCUACUGAAUGUGCAUCACCAAAAAUCCUGAAAUAAAUUCAAGAAUAAAUGCGAGCACCAGGACUUCAACCCUGCGGGCCUGGGGAUACCAUUGUUCACCUAACAAUCCAACCACAGGUAAUUGGUGUUACUAUGUACAGAUUUGGGGUCAUGAUGUCCGGAUAGCAGAUUGUGGAGCCUGUAUUUUUUGUUUCUAUAAUAGCCNNNNNNNNNNNNNNNNNNNNNNNNNNNNNNNNNNNNNNNNNNNNNNNNNNNNNNNNNNNNNNNNNNNNNNNNNNNNNNNNNNNNNNNNNNNNNNNNNNNNNNNNNNNNNNNNNNNNNNNNNNNNNNNNNNNNNNNNNNNNNNNNNNNNNNNNNNNNNNNNNNNNNNNNNNNNNNNNNNNNNNNNNNNNNNNNNNNNNNNNNNNNNNNNNNNNNNNNNNNNNNNNNNNNNNNNNNNNNNNNNNNNNNNNNNNNNNNNNNNNNNNNNNNNNNNNNNNNNNNNNNNNNNNNNNNNNNNNNNNNNNNNNNNNNNNNNNNNNNNNNNNNNNNNAUGAAUUGGUCACAGGUCAAUGGUUUUAACUUUCUACCUCAUGUUCAAAUAGGGGAAAUUCUUCACCCGGCCUAUCCAGCAUGUGGCAUCCGCCGCCUCUAGCGUGCGGACGCAUGUCAUGUGUGGACCCUCCACACCGCUCUGUCUUUUUUCUUAUUCCCACACAUGGUCGACCUUUGUUGAGAAAAAAAACUACAACAAGACCUCUGUUGCAAAAGUUUAUGCUCACGACCUCUAUUUUUGCAAAAAAAGAGCUUCUACAACAUGACCUAUGUUGCAAUGAUAGACAAUAGAAAAAAAGAAAAAUGAAGAGGCCAAGCACAACAAGGCUCAUGUUGCAUAGAUAGGAGGAAGAAAAACAUGGGUUGAGGCUUUUUGCAAUUAGUCCGUAGUUCGAGGCCUUUUGCAACAGGUCCUCUGUUCUAGAGAGACGGGUGCAACUACAUGCUUGUUGCAACUUCCUUUGCUCACGUGAAGAAGAUGUAGUGACUUUCUUUGUCUUAGUCCGACGGCUAUGGAUGUGGACAAUCUUUUCCAUUGCUUAAACCGGCCAACGCCUAGCAUGGCCCAUAAAAUAAUUCCCGGUGCCUUUCAAGCCUAUGCAACUCGUAUGGAACACACUUUCUACUCUUUUGACGUAUGGAUUGUCUCAUUGUUUCUAGAGGAAAUGAAUUUGGAAUUGAGAGGCAUGGAAGAGAUUGAUAUUUCUCAGUUGAGAAUUGAUGACAUGAAGGUACCCUGCUGCCCACCGCAUUGCAUGGUUUUGUGUGGGCCCAUAAUAUUUCAGCACCUAUAAAUGAGCUUAGUUUGGGCAUCAUGACAUUUAUGUGGGGCAAAACAACUUAUUUGUCGCGUCAUAGGCUCUCACCGGUUCCACGCCUCCCAACUAUAACCAUUCACAAAGAAUUAAGCAUACAACCAACCUAUUAUAUCAAGUUGUGCUGAGAGCAGAGCAUCUCCAAUAACUGCCCUAUAAUAGGGCACCAAAAUUUGCUUGAGGUGGGAUACAAAAAGGUGUAUUUUAGGGCACGAGAAAAUGAGUGUUUCCAAAAGUUACCCUAAAAUGGGGCACUAAAUAGGACACCAUUGCUCCAACAGCGGCCAUAAAAAUAGGGCAGCCGCACCACAUCUUUCUUCUCCACAUAUGGAUAGAAUUUAAACUUUGCAAGAUUUCCUUGAGUGUUUUCUCCACCAACAGCUGAUCACAAAAUUCAACUACUAAAUUUGAGUGUCUUCUCCACCAACGGCUGCUCACAAAAUUCCACUACUAAAUCCAAAUUUAAAGGGAUGACCGAUAAAAUCAAAGUAGAUACUAAAUUUGAAUGUCUUCUUUUAAUUUCUUUGUAUUGCACACAACUACACACCAAACUGACCUGGGAUACAAUCUCAGCGAAUAACAAACGAAAUUGACAAGUUCCUUUGUAACUUUCUUCAGAAAAAGGAACACUGAAAGUCUGAAGUUUCUGAAAACUAACACUGCAUCUUGGCCUCGUACACUUUCUUCACAAAAAGGAACGCUGAAAAACCGAACUUUACUGAUGAAUUCAAUCGGGGAAAGCAGCGGCGCAUUCCAGCAGCACCUCCACGACCCGUACAAACUCCAGCAACACAUUCUGCAGCACCACCACACAAACCACUAACUAGCCACCAGGCUUCCAUUUAGCUUUGUACUCCCUCUGUAAACUAAUACAAAAUCAUUUAGAUCACUAGAGGGAAUAUAUGCCAAAGGAGUUUGGAAGAGGGCUAACUUGUUUUUAUUUGGAAACGCAAAGGUGAAUCUAACUUCCUUUUUUUUUUGGCAAAACAAAAUAACUACACUAUCGUGCUGCAAUCAGCAACAAAAUUGGUCCUACACAGACAAUUCAGCUCAAUUCACUCCAUUAAAGAAUUUCAAGUCAUAGUACUGAGAAAUUUCCACUUUAAAGGAACCGAAACAUCCCCACCAUGCAACCCGGUAGAAAUGCAUUUCUACUACUCCCUCUGUUCCUAAAUAUAAGUCUUUUUAGAGAUUUCAAUGCAGACUAUAUACGGAGUAAAAUGAGUGAAUCUACAUUCUAAAAUAUGUCCAUAUACAUUUGUAUGUAGUUCGUAUUGGAAUCUCUAAAAGGACUUAUAUUUAGGAACGGAGGGAGUAUAUGAAACGAUCCUACAUGCUCAGCCCACAACAACGGGAAGCGCCGAUCCGCACUAGCCCGGGGUCACCACAAUUGCAUUCGAGAACUUAGCCUCUGGCCUCGACGACGAUAUUGGAGAAGGCGUCGGAGCGUAAGCCCUUUGUCUGGAUGUCCUGGCAAAGCUCCGCCACCACAUGGAGCUCGCUCAGCUUGGCCAUGGUGUGGCCGGAGCCGAAUCUUGCAGGGACAAAGACCAAAUCGGACUCAGGUAAGAGGGGACGGGAUGAGGGGCGUCAGAGUUGGGGAGGCAUCAGCCGGCGGUGAUGCUCGCAGGAGCAGAGGCAGGAAGGGCGCGUGGGAAACACCCAACCGACGGUUUUGCCACAGCAGCCCAAGUGUAGAGUUGGGGGAGGCAUCAGCCGGCGAUGAUGCUCGCAGGUACAGAGGCUGGAAGGGCGCAUGGGAAAUGCCCAUAGCAGCCCAAGUCUCAAAUCUGCAGUACUGUUUUAUAUUUUUGGGCAGCCCUGAAAAAUUUGGAGCAAAUUUUACAUUAAGGGCAGCUAUUGGAGCAUCCUUUUUUGCCUAAUGCUCCAAGUUGAUGGUGAGUAUAGGUGUUUACACAAAUCAUCGUUUCAAUACGGAUGCAAGUCUUACAACAAUAGUUUCAAGCACAAUUGAAAAAUCUGUCAGGCAGAUUAACUGUCCUACACAAUCAGAAGCAAUUUGCUUGGCUUUAUCAUUUCUAAUACAUGCAUUGUAAUAUUUCAACCAUUCAGAAGGCAUAACAGAUAUUAAUCAUCUAAAAUUUUAGAAACAUAUAGCAUCAUCGCAUCACAAAAAAGAUGAGACGCCGCAAAAUUAAUAGGUGCAUAAAAUUCAGUCACAAACACAUAUAAUCCCCACAUUACAUAAAACUCUGUCUUGGAACAUAACCAGACUAGAAUUAAACAGCUAAAUUGGACAUAACACAGGUUAAACAGCUUCCACAGCCAUAGCAGCAAACACGCCAGGAAUCACUAGACCAUGCCGUCAUCCCUCGGUGCCUGGCAGCCUGGAUGUAGGAUGAUGCUUCCGCUGCUCCAAGGCGCCUACUUGGAUCGCUGCCUCAUCUUUCGGCGCUUCCUCUUGAGCCUCCUCAUCCUCUUCUUCUUCCACUGCAAAUUACAGUAACCAUGCCGAUCAUGAGCAUAAAUUGCAUAGGUGCUCUAUAGGAGAUGCAAAAGGAACACAGAAAGUACAACUUGUUCUGGAAUCAGAAGAUUGAGUGUUUCAUUGGAUAUCAUCACGUGAUUUUCAGAAACACGGACCAAUUGCUCUUCAUCAUUUCCCAAACUGAAGUCAAUUUCAAAGGCAAACAGGAAAAAAACGAUGAUAAGAUAUCUAAAGAACUAGCUAAGCAAAGUAUAGAUCUGCAGUGGGUUUGACAUUCAGAAUGAGUAGGAGGAUUUUAUCAUCAAAUAGAUCAGACGCCAAUUGUCUUCCUCAUCACGCCAACCGACGCAGUUGAACGAAAGAAAGAACAAAUCUAGGAAAAACACUGGCAAAGAAAACACUGUUCUCUCAGACAAAUGCCUCGAUUGUCCACAUGGUUUUAUAGAAUGGAUUACAUCGGACUCGUCAUCUGUUUUCAUCAUCACAGAGAACCACAAACAAACACGCGCAAAAAAUAUCAAUUCAGUCAACAGAAACUACAUCCUAGUAUCUCUCAGAAUAAGCAAAUCGAACUAGAAUAGCAGGUUCUCUCGGACAAAUUUGCCUCAUUUUUGUCCCCACGGUUGAAUGGAAUGGAUUGGAUCGGACAUCUAAUCAGUGUUAAUCAUCACCGAGAACCACUAAUUACGCGAGCGAGCGGCAGAAACAGCAGGAACGAACGCUCGAUAAACACUAGCACAUGCCCAGAUCUACCGCAGUCGCGAAGCAGCUAACAUCAGGGGAGGUGGACGAGAGGCAGUACGAACCUUGGCCCUCAUCGCGGCGGCGGAGUCGGCCUCGCUCUCCUUUUCGCGUCGUCGGCGGCGGCGGCGGAAGUGUGUGGACGAACCCGAUCUCCGUAGAUUGUUGGCGGCGGGGGCUCUCACCUCCUACUUUAUAGGGGGGUAGGGUGCUGGGAAGGGGAAACCCUAGCGGGUGGACGGCUCGGAUCAGCCACGGGACGGCGUUCUGAUCCGAUUCGGUUGGGCUCUGGUUCGUAGGCAUAAUUGGGCCUCCAAACCAACGCCUCGGCCCACGCUCACGUACAAAGAUGAUGAGUCUUCUGACACUCAAAAAAAUAAUUAGUAGAUAAUGAGUAUUCUCACCCCUAAAAAAAAAUUAAAAAGAUAAUGAGUAUUCUCUUCACCUUUUUAAACAAAAACUGGAUAUUCUCGCCUGAUCAGUUCUGCUAAAACGAUUGUCUCAAAAAAUAGUUCAGCUAAAAGGAAAAAAGAAUUUAUCAAAAAAAAAAAGAUGAUGAAAAGCACUCAUUGCUCGACUGAUUGAUAUCUCCAUGUGUUGAUGUAGUUUUGUCACACUUCAUGAGAAGAUCUUAUUAUAGCUAUUUGUCUGAACCAUUUUUUACUUUACUUGGACACGGUUUGCCUGAACCUUAAGGGGUUGAAUUUUGCACCAGCAUAUGGCCCUCCAUAUUGACCAGAUCGCAACAAAUCGUUUACAGCGACAAGGUGGAGAUAAAGGAAUUGAUGAGAACGCAGAAACAUAUAUGUAACAACAACAUAAAAAGACAAUCACAGCCCUCAGAAUUCAUAAUUGCAUAAGAUUCACUCAUGCGAACAUAUAUAGACAUAAAACUCGCCAGAGAAAACCUCAUACAUCAGAAACAGCCCAUAAGACAGCAAGCAUAGACCUCACUUAGAUUCAUUCCCUCGGGAUUAAUCACAAACCAUCUCACUGACACUGUCCACACUUAGGCAUUUUACCAGUCCUGCCUAGAUAAGUUAUCAUAUCUGUCCACCAACAGCAUAUAAACAGCAGCAGCGAAGGUCAAAUUAUACCAAUCGGUGCACAGGACAUUCAUGUCAACAGUAUGGCAGCACCUCAGAUUAAAAGGGGAUUCAAGCCACAAAAGAUCAUUUUGCCAAGUCGGUCCUUGCUCAAAUGCCAGAUAAAGGGGUUUGGAUACAUUAGAAGGUCUGGUCAAUUCAACUCAUAACAUCAAAAACAUCAAGACAAGUAGUAAUAGUUCUUGACCACAACGACUCCAGAUAGGUGAAAGCAAUCUAGAAGAGAGACGUUCCCUUGCCCUUCUUGUCUCCACCGAUCUCAAAAUGCUUGCACCGCUGCACAUAGGAAUAAAGACAGACUGAGCAAAGCACAAUGGAAUGAAAACAAAUGUUCAGUCAGUUCAUCAGGAAAGGAACAAACCUUGAUGGCGCGCUGGGAGUAGUGCUUGCAGCUCUGGCACUGCAGCUUCAGCACAAUCUUCUUGGUGGUUUUUGCCUGAAGAAAAAGGUCACAAAAUCAUCAUUGCACAACUGGCUUUAAUCUCUAUCUGAUUUUACACUAAACAGACACACCAUAAGUAGAUGGCAAUAAAAUUGAUAGACAAAUCAGAUCGAUUGACAAUCACACGCAAAGAUGUUGCCGUACCUUCUUGUGGAAAACGGGCUUGGUCUGACCACCGUAUCCCGACUGCUUCCUGUCAUAACGACGCUUUCCCUGGGCAGACAGGCUGUCCUUACCCUUCUUGUAUUGAGUGACCUUGUGAAGCGUGUGCUUCUUGCACUCCUUGUUUUUGCAGUAGGUUUUCUUGGUCUUCGGAACGUUCACCUAUUUAGCAUUCGCAACAAAACUAAUGUUAAAACAGGGUUUGUGUGAAACUGCAUACAGUUUCAGAUGACACUGCAAUAGCUAAAAAGUAGCUCUAGAAACAAGUUCAGUAAAUGUUCAAGAAAUACUCAGAAAGCCACUAGUACAAUAAACAAUUAGGUCCUCAGAAACAUGCUUAUGGUUGUCAUCACAAGGAUAAUCAGGUCUCAAAUAUUUCAUGCCAUCAUAGGACCCCUUAAUUAAAAUAGCAAACAUUAAACAGUAAGAAUUGAAAUUGCAGCAUUACUUGCAUAACAAAAAUAAUAUUAUCACGUGGUAAGAAAGAAGUAAUUAAUGGUAGAUGGUCUGCUCGGGGCAAUACAUGCAAAUAAUGGCUGUAAGUUUAGUUUUAGGUUAGCUAAGUACACAAAAAGUUCGGAUGUCAAACACACCAAACAAAAUCACUAAUAUUCCACAAUAUGGCCAACCGCAGUGGGUUUUAGAUGUAUCAUGUAAUAUGAAGUUGCAUGAAGCACGUUCACAAUAUUACAGAAUGAAAGAUGCAUAAAUACAAACUAUAGUCGAUCUAAACACAAAAUAAAAACUAGAUUAGACUUGUUUCUGACACGACGAGCUAUCCAUUUCAUCUUUGGAAAAAGGCCAGCUGCCUGAUAUAAACUAGUACACCAGUUUACAUAUUUAAAGCACAUCUCAUACACAGUAACUAGAAACCUAGAGCAGUACUAAAUUAAGGUAAAAUACAGCUCAUCGGUGCACAAAAAUGCAGUGUGCACAUAGAGAAUAUAAUUCAAUUCUGUGCUUUUAGAAAUCAGAAGCAUCGAGUGUUUUAUUGGACAUCAUCACAUGGUUUUCAGAAACAUGGACCAAUUGUUCUUUAUCAUUUCAUUUUCCAAACUGAAGUUAAUUUCAUAGGCAAAGAGGAAACAACUAUUCUAUGGUAUCUACACAACUAGUUCAGCAAAGCAGAUCUGCAGUCGGUUUGACCGUUUGACAUUUAGUAUGAGUAGGACGAUUCAUCAUCAAAUAGAUCAGACAACAAUUUCCUUCCUCAUCAUGCCGGCGACACAAUUAUACAAAAAAACAGUGGAGAAAAUGUGCUAAGGAAAUGGCUAAGCAAACAAUGUUCCCUCAGACAAAUGCCUCGAUAGUCCACAUGGGUAACUGAAUGGAUUACAUCAGACUCGUCAUCUGUGUUCAUCAUCACAGAGAACUACCAAAAAAAGCGCUCUAAUCUCACAUAAUAAGCACAUGGUAGAAUUCAAGCAGCAGCAGCAGCAGCAGCAGCAUGACAAGGCAAAAGCAUAACACAGCCAGUGUUCUCUCAGACAAAUGCCUCGUUUUGUCCCCAUGUUUUAGUGGAAUGGAUUGGGUCGGACACCUAAUCGGUGGUGAUCAUCACGGAGAACCCACAAGCACCAGCGCGUGAGCCGCAGAGAAAAAUAGGCAACAAUUGGUAAACACGAGCGCAUCUACCGCAGUCGCAAAGUGAUCCUCUAGCAGGAAAUCGCAUCCUAAGGUAGGUGGACGGGGGAGGAGCACAGGCGGGGUACAAACCAUGGCGGCGGCGGCGGCGGUGCGGUGCUCGCGCUCGGUCGGUUAGCGUCGUCGUCGUCGUCGUCGGCGGCGGAAGCGUGUGGAAGAUUGGCGGCGGAGGCUCUCGCCUCCUUCUUAUAGGGUUUGGGUGCUGCGGAGGUGGACGGCUCAGAUCAGAUCGGCCGCUGCACGCAGUGAUCCGGUCGCGUCUCUGGUUGGUGGGCCUAAUGGGCCGUCAAACCGACUCCUAGGCCCAUGCUCACAUAGGAUGAGAUGACGGGUCGGCAGCUCUGUUCUGAACUUCUCAUCGGUUUUCCAGAGGAGUUCGCUGGGCGAGAUGACCUGCGGCGGCCUCCCCGGCUCGCCGGCGCCGGCGCCGAUGCCGGCGGUGGCGGCCCCGCUGGAGGACGAGAACCUCCUCCCGGAGAUCCUCGUCCGCCUAGCCCCACUCCCAUCCGCCCUCCCGCGCGCCUCCCUCGUCUGCAAGCGCUGGCGCCGCCUCGUCACCGACCGCCGCUUCGUGCGCCGCUUCCGCGCGCACCACCUCGGCGGCCCGCCUCCGCUGAUCGGCUUCUUCGAGGAGGUCACCCGCAAGCCCGACCCCCACAACCCCGCCCCGGGCGACCCCAACGUCCUCUCCUUCACCCCUAUCCUGGAUCACCCCGACCGCGUCCCGGUCGGGCGCUUCUCCCUGCACCUACACGACGGCCACGGCCGCUCGAACAUCGGCUGCCGCGACGGCCUCGUGCUCCUCAUCUACCCGGCGGGCUUCGACAUCGAGGUCCUCGUGUGGGACCCCGUCACCGGCGACCAGCACCGCUUCCUCAUCCCCUGGGUGAUCGACGACGGCCAGGGCACCGAGAUCUUAAACGGGGCGGUCCUUCGCACCGCCGGAAUCCUCGACGAUCGCCCCUUCCGGUUCCAGGCGGUCUUGACCGGCGUCGACGGGCAGAACAAGCGGCUGUUCGCCUGCGUUUACUCGUCCGAGACCGGCAAAUGGGGCGAUCCAAUCUGGGUAUCCGCGGAUUUUACGAGCGGCGUAACCACCAUGAUUGAGAUGCGUGUUUCCAGUACCAUGGUUGGGAAUUCCCUCUACUGGUCCCUUUGCUCAAUUGGUUGGGAGGUAGCUGCCAUCCUUCAGUUUGAUUUGGAUACACAACACCUGGCUGUCAUACACUUACCCUGCUUGGGUAAGUGUAGUAGGAAUGGCAGCCGGACCUUCCGGGCUGUGCCCGUGGACGGCGGUGAGCUUGGCGUCCUUGAGCUGUUUGACGCCAACCUCCAGUUGUGGAAAAGGAAGAUCGACCGUGACGGUGUUGUUUCAUGGGUGCUGGAGAAGACUAUUGGAUUGGAGGAACUUCUUUAUAUAGAUAAAAGGAAAAUGGGCCCAAUGAUGCUCGGGUAUUGCGAGGACAAUAAUGUGGUGUUUAUAUGGACAUAUCACGGUAUUUUCAUGGUCCAGCUUGAGUCACUGGAAGUGUACAAGCCUCCCAUACAGACAUUUUACUGUUUGGUUCAUCCAUUCACAAGUGUCUACACUGCAGGUAAUAACUAAGUAAUUUUCUAUAAUUGAUUGAUGAAAAGUUUUUCACAUCCUUGUUGUUAGACUAAUAAUACAAACUAAAUGUCUGUCAACUGUUUUUUUGCUGCUCAAUGGGCUAUUUGAAUACAUAACCAUAUUGUUCAUGAUAGUAUUAUUAUUAUGAUUGUCUAACUAUGUGGUUCAUGUCAGAGGUAGCAAGCAUUUUGUGUUAAGUCUAUUUGAUGAAAAAAAUAUUGUUAUGCAAAAGCCAUAUGAUGCCAGUGAUUUACUUUCCCUCGAGAUUAAUACCAGCUGGAAACAGGAAAACUAAGCUUGAACCAGCUGCGACAGUGAAAUGCCCAAUUGGGUAGCUCAAUUGUCACAUCUAAAGGCUUAAAACUAGGGAUCCCUUAAAACUAGUUAUAUCCUUUGGUCCAUUUUUUGUUUAUAGUGAUCUUGCUAACCUAAAUCCAUAAUAAAAGCUUGGUUUGGUCUUGACAAGAUAAUAGUUCAUUUUUAUCACUUAUUGAAGAUUCGCAAGCGUCAGAGUCUAUUUGUACCAGAGGAUAAAUGAAUUGAGUCUGUUUUAUCUUUUCAAGCUAAAGUUAUUUAAAUAUGAAUUGUCGUUAUUUCUUUGUUCUUAAAAUUUAUUGGUUUGAAUACAUUAUACAUUGUCAACUUCAGAUAACACAGG
rnacentral:lncRNA from 1 species